GUGAAAAUAAAUUUUCAAAGUACUAUAAGAAAUUUGCAUAUUUAGUAAUACAAUCUUUCAAAAAUAAAGGCAGAAAAAAAGACACUUUAUGACACAGGAUACCAAUACAUCUUCACAAAAGAUACUUCUUGUCAGAGGGAAGAUUUGUAAUACAUGAAAAAUGGAAAGCAUAAAUAUUGACCAUGUACAAUGGUAAAGUUAAUGUCCAAUGUCUCAAGCUAAAUAUCAAGAGAAAGAGUAUAAUUUAUGGACAGUGAUAACGGACAUGACAACAUUCUAAGAUUCUUAUGUGGUUCAGAAUAAGAUUAAAACUAUUAUAUUAAUAGUAGAAAUAGUGAUUAUUAUUAUUAUUAUUAUUAUGUUCCAGGAAUCUUAUAGAAAUAAAGAAGGAAAGAGAAAGAGGGAGAAAGAGGAAGAAUUCUAUAGUCAAAUCAGUUUUGCUUAACCAAAUGAAAUAUAUUUCCUACUUGAUUUCUCUAAGUUUUUUCUAAGCCAGUGUGCUUUAUAAAUCCCUUCAGAGAUGUAGAGUGUUUGAAGUAUUUCUUUUUUUUUAAUGUGACAUCACCUUAUCUCAUGGAAUAUCUAUUAAUAUCUUUAGAAACUUGACAUUCUAGGGAAUAUGUUUUUUGUGGUUUUUAAGUUUUAUUGAGGUAUAGUUGAUUUACAGUGUUGUGAUAAUUUCUGCUGUGCAACAAAAUAUAUAUACACACACAUCCAUUCUUUUUCAGAUUCUUUUCCCACAUAGAUUAUCAUAUAUUAUUGGGUAGAGUUCCCUGUGCUAUACAUCAAGUCCCUGUUGGCCAACCAUUCCAUGUGCCACAGUGUACAUAUGCCAAUCCCAAACCUGGGGAACAUAUUUUAAGUUGAAUAUGAAUCCACUUGGGCUCAGAUUUGCCUGCUUAAGAGAGUAAUAUAACCAUGUAAUCUUGAAGAGAAUAACAGACUAGAAUAACAAGGUCAGUCUCAGAAAGACCUCACAUUUGGGAGAAUAAGACAUUAGGAAAGAAUUGAAAAUACUCUUGUCCAAUGAUACCGGGAAGGGUGGGACAUAUUGAAGUCUGGUAAACUGGAAGAAAAAAAUAAAAGCACCACCUAGCAAAUGAAUUGGAAAGCUUUUGCUACAAGACUGUCGGAACAUCUGGGAACACUGCCAAGUAAUUCUGGGGAACAGACUUGGCACUGAUUGUGGCCUUGUGUUCUGUAUGAAAGAAAAAAGAUUAAUUUAUUUUAUAAGCCAUAAUACACUACCUAGAAGCCAAAUUGCCAGUUAAAAUUCUAUUUGCAAGCAGGUGUAGGGUUUCAAUAUAACUUUCACCUAACAUCAUGGAAUGCUGCCUCUCCAUAAUCAAAUAUGAUGCAAGCUAUCUUACCAGCUACCUUUUCAGUGUUUCGAAAUGUUCAGAAAAUGGUAGGUUAGGAAUGUCUACAAUUACAAUGGAAUCUUAUGUAUCUACUCUAAAUGCAGCUGUCUGGUUUAUACAGUAGAGAGGAAAUAAAUCCCUGCUUAUAGACAGGAGUAUUUGCUCUUACCCUUCCAAUCAAUUGUUUCCUCUAGAAGUUAACAUUUUAAACCUGUCCAAGCAAAGAGAAGGGUGAAAUGUAUUUGGUGGUUAGUUUUCCUAAUUCCAUGCUAUUAGGAAUAUAGGAUGUUACCCUUUUUUAAGUUCAUAAUUCUUUCAUUGCAAUUUAUGUAAUGCAUCCCCAUUGAUGCUUUUUGUAAUUUUGUGUAUGUACUUGUUUUCUCUGAAGACUCAAAGAAAUCUGCAGGCAUUAAUCUUCACAGUCCUCUCUGGUGGAAGACUGCAAGGGCAAGCCAGAGCUGAGCUGGAAUGAAAAGAUUCUGCCUGGGUGAAGUUCCUACGAAUACCUUUCCCACAAAUUGCAUCCUUUCCUCAAACUGUCUGGAUCAUUUUGUAACCCAAGUGGCUUUCAUCAAAACAAGGGCCUGCCACCAGGUGCUGACCAUUUAUUGACCCGUGAUGGAGUUGCACCUCCUCACUCUCCUCUGGGCCUCUGUGCCAACCUCUGUAGCCAGUGAAUGAUGGUGUCAUUUUCCAAGACAAAGAAGGUAAGAAAAAGAGCUGAUUUGCGGGAUGAGAUGGAGGAUGGAGAAAAAAUAUCAAUGUCUGUGAGGUAUCCAAACAGAGUAGGCUCAGCAGCUCCGGCAAGAGCUCUGGGCUGAGAAGGGAACGGAUUCUGCUGUACAGCAAAGCUGGCUCAAGUCCGGGGAGUGAAUUAAGAUGAGAGAGAGAGAGAGAGACUAUUCACACUGUAAAGAGAAGAGGGAUAAUUUCAGGUUCUUAACGAUGGCCAACACUUCACAAUCCAUCCCUUUCAUUUUUCUCUUCUGUUUUCAAGCUGGUUUGCAUCAAAAUGGUAAUUCUCUCCUUUUAGGAUUUUAAUGCCAGCUGCAGAGAAUUCUGUGUUUCUGUUUAUAAUUGUUUAAAGAUCUGAUUUUGAGAAUAGUAUCUUCAACAACUGUUUGCAACCUCUUUGAAGAUCUGGUUGGAACAGUUUUUCUCUGUUAAACCAAUUGUCUAUGGAGCAUCACAGUCUCCUGAUAACUGGCACAUGGGUCUCCCACUCUACUCUGUCCUGUGGUAGGGAAGGGGCAGGAGGCUUUUCAUGACCUUCGAACCUAAAGGCAAGCAUAAUAUCUAGAUUUUGUGCUGCUAAAAAGACCCCCUUCUCUUCUCAGAAGUUCUCAACUCUCUUCCUUCCUUCUUUCCUUCCUUCCUUUUGCUGCACCCAUAGCCUGUGGAAGUUCCUGAGCCACGGAUCAAACCCCACGCCAGCAACCCAGGCUGCUGCUGUGACAAUGCCAGAUCCUUAACCCACUGCACCACAAGAGAAUUCCUAUCAACUCUUAUACUUUCUAUGUUACAGGAUAAAUGGUCCCCUGGUCUGUUACAGAACAUUUAUUAAAGUUUUGACAUCCCAAACACCAAUUGAUAAUAUUUUUGUGCAUAGGCUUAUGUUUCUUUAAAAACCAUUUUCUUAGGACAGUGACAAAAUCCUCAAAGUUAUAUAAGGUAGAAAAAAGUGAUGUGAUCUUGAAAAGUAAUGAAAUAAAAUUGCUUCAGUGUUUAUCACUAUUGUGAUAAAAUGGUUACAUAAGACUUGAGAGUAUUUUUCCAUUUAUCACAGCACAUCCAUAAAUUAUUCAUCAAACACUAGUGUUCCACGGCACGCGGUAUGAGAACCAUACCAUUGCGAUGUUUUGAUUGUCCACAAUUCCGUGUUCACCAUGUGGGACUCUGAUAUCAUUAAAUUUAAAAGGCAAUUGCAGAAAAGUAGAGAGGUGACCUCAGAAAGCUGGUUAGCCCUGUCCUUCAGAACUACUGGCCUUGUCCUUAGCACCCUUGGAGAAAGCAGGGCUCUGGAAGGCUAUGGACAGACAUUGCAAAGACUGCAAAAUAGGAGGCAGCUGGGCAGUGCUCUGGCAGCAGCUGCAGCAGUGAGAGUUGUAGGAGCGGUCAUUAGAUAGGCCACCCAGAAGGCAGAGUAGCCAAGCCACUGAUUGCAACCAGCCUAGUUCGCAACAGGGCCCACCGCCAUAUCACAGAUGUGAGGGGUGGAGGAGGCAGGUGCCACGUCCUGGCCUCAUCUCCCGCCGUGCUUGCAGAUGCCAGCGGCAGCAGCCAUGUUGCAGAACUGUGUUACUCUCCCUCUCUGAGAACAUGUGAAUGUGUGUAAUAUAUUGUUAAAGGAUAUCUUUUUAAAAGGGUAAAAUCUUGCUGUCCUACAGAUAUAAAAUGAACAUAUGUUUAAAUAUUGUGUUUAAAUCAAUAUAUGAGUGAACCAAUAAGACGUUAUGACUGGUUUAAAGAAUUCCAAGAAGCACACGGAAGUAGAGAUAAGGACUUUAGAAAUGCAUUUACUAAGAGAUGCAAGAUGUGUCCGCCCACUGUGCAAUAAUCAGUUAAUUUGCAUUUCUAUGGAUAUGAAUAAUUUGUAUUAUUGUCUGUAUUCUCCAAUUCACAGGGUUAUAAAAUAGCUCAAAGACAAUGAAAGAUAGAGAGAAUGCCGAAGGGUGAGUUGCUUAGAAUAUUUUCCAGUUCAUAGUAAGUUCAAUGUAAGUUUUAGUGAUAUUUAUUAUUACAAUAAUAGUGUAUUUAGAAUCAGACAGGCUUGGGUUUGAAUCUCAUCUCAGGCACUCACUAAUUGGGUGACCUUGGGCAAGGAAGUUCAUCUUUCUUAGCCCAGUUUUCUUAUCAGUGUGCCAUUAUUUGGGACUAGUGAGGAGUAACUGGAAUAUUGUUUGUAAAAUACUCCAUAGGGGGAUUAGCACAGAGUAAACAUUCAAUAGUGGUAGCAUUAUUUUUAUUACCAAAAUUGGCAAUUUUAAUAAUGCUGAAACUUCUGUUUAUAUCACUAGCCAUUACUGUUUUCAUUAUUGGUGUAGUCAGCUAAAAUUUUUUUCUGAUAUAAUGUUUUAAAUCAUAAAUAGAUAAAUAAACGAACCUUGAAUAUUUAGUCUGGCAAAAUGGUACUUGCUAUUUCUGUACUUACUUACAAAGCUAAUUAUUGAGUAGGUCUAUGUUUCUGCUUUCCUUCUCGCUCUCUCUUUUUUUUUAAAGUUAGGCUUAAGUGCAUCCUUGUUCCAGGACAUGGAAGGGAGGUUUGUCAAUACUCCUUGCAAACUGAGCAUGCAGUACAGAAAUUUUUAUCGAGGACCAUUUAUGAAACAGAUCACUCAAUAUCAUGUCAUUUAGAGUCACUUCAAAAAAUUCAUUGAUUAAGAAAAUUGUAAGACUGUCAGGAAACUUCAGGAUUACCAAUCAAUCCAUCCCUCUAUUUUAGAGAUAGGAAACUAUUAUUGAGAGAGGUUAAGUACAUUGUCCAAUGCCACACAGCUAGGCAUAUGCAGAGUUGGGACCAGAAGCCAAACUUUUUGAUUCCUAGGUUAAUUUUCUCUGACUUUCCCUACAUUAGAGCCUCAUAGAAUUGGCCAUAGCUGGAAAUAGAACCGCUAGCUUUCCUCUGCAUAUAUUGAAUUGAGAAAUCAAGAUCCACAGGAAUGUCGGGCCAGUUUCCUACAGCACUCAGGACCCAUUGGAGAUACCAGAGAAGGAGGUUCCACUUAACUGGAGCAAAGUAACCAUUGUCCAGCAUGGAACGAGCAACCCACUUGUCUGCAGCACCUCAUGAUUUAUUAACUGCUACUGGUGCCCAUGAAAUAUUCAUCCACUCUCCUAGCCACUGCUCCACUGCAUUAAUAAACCAUCGCUCCCCCAUCUGUUCAGGUGUGCAGCUUGGGGAAGAAAAGCUUCACGCAAGAUGGAAAAGAGACCUCAUUUCACGUUUAGCUCAGGGAUAGAAGACUGAUGCACUUCUUGGUUGCUGGGGCAGGGGAGGUUGCUGAAGCACAGUCAGGGCUGUCUCCCUGGGCUCCUGGACAGGGAAAAGCCCUGGCCCCUCAGUAAGGAAAGGCUGCAAUAGCAAGAGGGAAGAGGGAAGGGUUUCACAAGUGUUGCUGGUGGUAACAUGUCCAGUUUCAGCCUGCGCUUGUUUUCCCCCCAUAAUCAAGAGUGCU
ensembl:lncRNA